CUAAUCAUGGUUAAUGUUUCAGAUGUAAGAUGUUGUCUGCACCCCGUGUAAUUUCCGUUAGUUUCUUUUCUCAGUGUGGAGACUAUGCCAGUGGAGAGACCAACGACGAUUACCUUGAGAUAGUGGGAUGUGCAUGGAAGGAGCGACUAACUAUGUAGAGGAAAGCUGCGCUCGCCGGCACUGGUCAGGGGCCUAAAUGAUUGAGGAGUGAAAUUAGAUCAUGGCCUUUCAUGUUUGAAGGGAUAUAGUAUUACGAUAACUCUCAAAAAUCAAUAUUGUAUAAUGACAGAAGUUAAUAAUCUAAAUCAGCAGGAGCAAGCUUUGGAUGAGUGUAUAUACUAGCGAGAUGUGCGGAAAGCUAAGCGGGUUAAUGGAAGAUGAGAAUGGUCGAAGGUAAUCAGAA